GAUGAACGCUGGCGGCGUGCCUAAUACAUGCAAGUCGAGCGAACAGACGAGGAGCUUGCUCCUCUGACGUUAGCGGCGGACGGGUGAGUAACACGUGGAUAACCUACCUAUAAGACUGGGAUAACUUUGGGAAACCGGAGCUAAUACCGGAUAAUAUAUUGAACCGCAUGGUUCAAUAGUGAAAGACGGUUUUGCUGUCACUUAUAGAUGGAUCCGCGCCGCAUUAGCUAGUUGGUAAGGUAAUGGCUUACCAAGGCGACGAUGCGUAGCCGACCUGAGAGGGUGAUCGGCCACACUGGAACUGAGACACGGUCCAGACUCCUACGGGAGGCAGCAGUAGGGAAUCUUCCGCAAUGGGCGAAAGCCUGACGGAGCAACGCCGCGUGAGUGAUGAAGGUCUUCGGAUCGUAAAACUCUGUUAUUAGGGAAGAACAAAUGUGUAAGUAACUAUGCACGUCUUGACGGUACCUAAUCAGAAAGCCACGGCUAACUACGUG
rnacentral:rRNA from 1 species